UUCUUCACAAUCAUCCACUAGAUCAGGAGAAAACAUCCGACAAACCCACACUGGGGGAGCAGCAGCCUUCAAAGCACACGGCUAGCACUCCCCAACAUCCAGAAGACCCAGUGUGAAGACACAGAACCACCACUAGGCGGCGACAGAGCCCGCCAUCACCCAAG